rnacentral:rRNA from 1 species
CCUACGGGGGGCAGCAGUGAGGAAUAUUGGUCAAUGGACGAGAGUCUGAACCAGCCAAGUAGCGUGAAGGAUGACUGCCCUAUGGGUUGUAAACUUCUUUUAUAAAGGAAUAAAACGAGGCACGUGUGCCUUUUUGCAUGUACUUUAUGAAUAAGGAUCGGCUCACUCCGUGCCAGCAGCCGCGGUAAUACGGAGGAUCCGAGCGUUAUCCGGAUUUAUUGGGUUUAAAGGGAGCGUAGAUGGGUUGUUAAGUCAGUUGUGAAAGUUUGCGGCUCAACCGUAAAAUUGCAAUUGAUACUGGCAGUCUUGAGUACAGUUGAGGUAGGCAGAAUUCGUGGUGUAGCGGUGAAAUGCUUAGAUAUCACGAAGAACCCCGAUUGCGAAGGCAGCUUACUAAACUGUGACUGACAUUGAUGCUCGAAAGUGUGGGUAGCAAACAGGAUUAGAUACCCCUGUAGUC